GCCUAAAGCGUCCGUAGCCUGCUUUGUAAGUUUUCGGUUAAAUCCAUCAGCUCAACUGAUGGGCCGCCGAAAAAACUGCAAAGCUAGGGAGUGGGAGAGGUAGACGGUACUCGAUAGGAAGGGGUAAAAUCCUUUGAUCUAUUGAUGACCCCCUGUGGCGAAGGCGGUCUACCAGAACACGUUCGACGGUGAGGGAUGAAAGCUGGGGGAGCAAACCGGAUUAGAUACCCGGGUAGUCCCAGCUGUAAACGAUGCAGACUCGGUGAUGCCCUGGCUUGUGGCCAGUGCAGUGCCGCAGGGAAGCCGUUAAGUUUGCCGCCUGGGAAGUACGUACGCAAGUAUGAAACUUAAAGGAAUUGGCGGGGGAGCACCACAAGGGGUGAAGCCUGCGGUUCAAUUGGAGUCAACGCCAGAAAUCUUACCCGAGGAGACAGCAGAAUGAAGGUCAAGCUGGAGACUUUACCAGACAAGCUGAGAAGUGGUGCAUGGCCGUCGCCAGCUCGUGCCGUGAGAUGUCCUGUUAAGUCAGGUAACGAGCGAGAUCCCUGCCUCUAGUUGCCACCAUUACUCUCAGGAGUAGUGGGGCGAAUUAGAGGGACCGCCACAGUUAAUGUGGAGGAAGGAAGGGGCCACGGCAGGUCAGUAUGCCCCGAA
rnacentral:rRNA from 1 species